rnacentral:rRNA from 1 species
GACGAACGCUGGCGGCGUGCUUAACACAUGCAAGUCGAACGGAAAGGCCCCUUUGGGGGUCCUCGAGUGGCGAACGGGUGAGUAACACGUGAGUAACCUGCCCUUGACUUCGGGAUAACUUCAGGAAACUGGGGCUAAUACCGGAUAGGAAUCCUUGCUGCAUGGUGGGGGUUGGAAAGCUUCGGCGGUUUUGGAUGGACUCGCGGCUUAUCAGCUUGUUGGUGGGGUAGUGGCUUACCAAGGCUUUGACGGGUAGCCGGCCUGAGAGGGCGACCGGCCACAUUGGGACUGAGAUACGGCCCAGACUCCUACGGGGGGCAGCAGUGGGGAAUAUUGCACAAUGGGCGGAAGCCUGAUGCAGCAACGCCGCGGGCGGGAUGACGGCCUUCGGGUUUUAAACCGCUUUCAGCAGGGGCGAAGCUUGUGGUGGCGGUACCUGAAGAAGAAGCACCGGCUAACUACGU